AAGGAACUCAUUGAUUUGAUCACAGAUUUCUUAAACAUCUCAGUUGUGAUGACAAGAAAAACACAAUUUUAAAGAAAGGUUUGUAGAUUGGGCCAUUCUAUAGGCCCAUAAUACAUAACUGUGACAAUAACAGUAGAAGGAAUAUAAACAUUUUAGAUGGUCUUCUACCUGGAAGUUACUGAUUAAGCUUUUUCAUUUCAAGAGCCUUUUUCUACUGCCCUCUCAAACCCAAGCUUGAGGGAGAAAAGCAGUCUUGCACCCUUUCAUUCUAUGUGCUGGAGCACACUUCUUUUUAAACCUCCUUUUCAAGAGAUCUGCAAAUGCACCUAAUCUUUUGUACCCCCUCUUUCCAGGGUAUUCAUACCCUCUCACACCCCUCUUCCCCCAUCCUUUCAUCUGUCUCUCAAUGACCCCACACACGCAGUCACACACAGGAUUAAUAUGUUGGAUAAAUCUUUUGAUAAACACACAUUUGCUACAGCCUGUAGUGCCAGUGAACUUAUUGCAACUGAAUUAUCUUGAUAGAUCCACUGCACACCCAGUGCAUGAUGCAAAGUCCUCACCCUAUCUUUAAAGAAUAUGGGUAUAACUGUUUCUCUGUGCGCUGAAGUAAUGGUUGGUGAUAAGGCUACACAAAGGAGUCAGUGACACUUGUUGUAAAGUUGGCCUCCAAAAAUACAGUACCAGUCAAAAGUUUGGACACACCUACUCUUUCCAGGGUUUUUCUUCUUUUUUUUAAACUCUUUUCUACAUUGUAGAAUAAAACUAUGAAAUAACACAAAUGGAAUCAUGAAGUAACCAGAAAAGUGUGAAACAAAUCAAAAUAUAUUCUUCAAAGUAGCCACCCUUGAAUGAGUAGGUGUGUCCAACAUUUUGACUGGUACUGUGUACAUGAAUAACAAAUGAAUACAGAGUCGUCUUGUGCAAGAUUACAAAAGCGACACAUUCGCAACUGUGUGUAAAAAGCCAGAUUCUUCUCUUUUUUUUCUUUUACCUUUAUUUAACUAGGCAGCUCAGUUAAGAACAAAUUCUUAUUUACAAUGACGGCCUAGGAACAGUGGGUUAACGGCCUUGUUCAGGGGCAGAACGACAGAUUUGUACCUUGUCAGCUCGGGGAUUUGAACUUGCAACCUUUCGAUUACUGUUUGAGAAGUUCCAACUACUGAACAGUGAAGCCACCUGAUUGUUCCAGAACACCUGUAAAACAGAAAGAAGCUUUAAACAAUGAAUAACAAAUAAUUCCAUGGUUGAAUUACAUUGGGUUGACUCAAUUACAUUGAGUUGCCUCACCUUAUUUUGGUGGAACACCCUCAAUGUACUUUUAAAGGUAGUCUCAUCCAUUCUAUACAGCCGUAUACUUCUGGCGUGCUCUCUCUUUAUUUGCUUGAGCUGACAGCGUGAUAGGAAAAUGAAAGGGCCCAGAAAAAAGCACACUGUUGGAGGAGUCAGGAGGCCUAUGUUCUUAUAGAAAGCAUUACCAUGUGGUGGUAAUGAGCCAUCGGAAACAAGGGGGGGUAGAGAGGAGAAAAUGGCCUGACAUGAGGGCUUCCAUUAGCUUUCUGCAUGUAAAGGGGUCUACAUAGAAUUCGCAAACAGGGCCGACAGAGCGUAGCGCAGUGUCGCAAUGUCUUUUUUCGUCACAAGUUUUAGGAAGCGUCUGUGCAAACUGGUGAGACAUACGAGAGUCUUUACCACCCUUCGAUACAGUUGUAUUCGGACGAACACGCAAAAGACAACAGCUGGAAGGAGAUAUCCCGGAUAUCACAUUUGAUCACUGAUACUGAUAUCAAAGAAACAUGGAGAAAGAUUUGGGACUGGUAUGUUCGCAAUCUGAAAAGGGGGAAGGAGAUGAGGAGUGGGGCUGCCGCUGGUGUGUGUGUCCCACCGAUUGUCUGACACCUGGAUUGGUUUUGUGUUCACAUGAAACAUUGUCAGACACCAAUAAUAUGCCAAAUACGGUGGUGGAGUGGGGUGGUGUUUUGGACAGCCCAGAAACAGAGUUGAGCCCUGAGGGCCCAUCUACAGGUGGUUCAUUGCCCCUUGGUUUAUCAUCGCUCUCCCCGGCCUGGUUCAUCACCUCCUCGGCCCUUCUCCCCAACGCCCAGGCCCUUCUCACCAGCAUGUUUUUUUUAUAUUCACUUAUUUCCUAAUUCAUGUUACUGUUGUUUACUUUGUGUUUUUUCUCUCAUUUCCCCUUUCAUCACACUUUUCACCUGUGUAUUACAUAGUUUUACGUUCAACUAUUUUCCUAAAUAAAUAUCAAAAAGGUCUGCAAAUGUAUUUGUCUGG
rnacentral:lncRNA from 1 species